UGCCUGCCUCAAGCUGACUCACCUGGAACUAACACUGGGAUUUCUGGCACGCAUUCCUGCUCUGCCUCUAUUGCUGUCCACAGUUUUGUGCCAUGACCAGGCAUCACACACAGGCAACUGCAUCGGCACCUGUGGUGAUGAUGAAUUUGUGGUCACACACAGAGGAUCACCUCAGGUUGAGGGUGACUCAAGCCUGGCCAGCAGUCACCUCAGGCUCUGCUCUUCACUGCCACACUCUUCUGCUGCACAUGGCUAUGUCACACAUCACUGGGCUCUGUCCUCCCUGCGGCAUACAUUCCAGUUCCUGCUCAUCAACUCUUGGUUUUGUUCAACCUCAAAGCAUGUAGUGAGGCAAGGCCGGAACCGAAGCUCAGAGUUGAGGUCCAGAUGAUUGCAGCUGGGCCUGGCAAGGCAACUGCGUGGUCCACCUUUCUGAGAAGAUCUGCAGAGGGCAAGUGAGUUCCUGCUCGGCUGCUGCCUUUCCCGAGUUACCACAUGACAUUGUAAAAUCACCUACAAUUCUAAAUCCAGAGAGUGCCUACAGACUACGCACUUAACAGCUCAGAGGAUGACUCAGAGGAAGCAAUUUUCCAAAGUGAAGAUAAUCAUCUGUUGGUGUGAAAAAGCAAACACUCUUUCAUUAGCGUUGGAGACUCAAGGGGAACUUGCUAAAUCCAUAGAUGCAGCACUUUAGUAAGUGGCUAAAGAACAAUACCACAGCUGGAAGGGAGGACAUUCCACUCUGUCAGAGUUCUCCCACAGAACUAGCUCUCUUAAAGGGAAGGCAGAAGCUCAGCUCUGGCCUCUUCCUGUUCACUUGAUAACCUUCUCGAAGUCCUGGUCCCUGUGCCACCCACCCUGGGAAUCCCAGAAUUCAGAGCUCCCGGAUCUACUUCAUCCACAAACAAUAAUUCCCCUUAUCCUGGGGAUAUGUUCCAACAUGGCCUAUGGAUGCCAGAAACCACUCACAGUCCUAAGCCCUAUGUACACUGUUAUUUCCUAUAUAUACACACCUAUGAUGAAGUUUUCUAUAUAAAUUCGACAGUUUUGCAAAUGGGAAGGGUACCAAGAGAAGGAGGGAGAAGAGAGGGAAGGGAAAGGGGAGUGAGAAGAACGAAGAUGUGUUAGGCGCAUGUACGAAACUCCCCCCAAUGAAUGUAACCAUUAUGUACUGCAAACAUGUACUAAUGAAAGUUUAAAAAUGGUAUCUUCCCGAAAAAGCUUAAGUCAUCAUAUUACAGUGAUACUGCAUACCCAUGUUUAUAGCAGCACAAUUUAUAAUAGCUAAAUCUUGGAUGUGUCUUAUAUGUCCACCGACAGAUGAAUGAUAAAGAAAAUGUGGUAUUUAAAUGCAAUGGAGUACUAGUCUACCAUAAAGAAGGAUAAAUUAGAGUCAUUUGUAGGAAAAUGGAUGCGCCUUGAGACCACAACAUUAAGUGAAAUAAGUCAGACACAUGAGCUUAAAUAUCACAUUGUUUCCCUUGUAUAAGAAACCCAAAACAUGAAGUGUGAAAUAAAAGAUAGAUAAUAGGAAGUAGGGAGAUAGAGCUUUUCCAAAUAUGAAGGGGAUCAAGAGGUGGAGGGAGGGCCAGGGAUUUAGUGCAGUGGUUUCACCGCCUGCUGCGCAAGUGCAAGGACCUGAGUUCGAUCCCUGGUACCAAAAAAAGAGGUGGAGGGAGAGGAGAGGAAGGAGGGAAAGGGGAUGGAAAAGAAAUUAAGAUGUGUUUGUUGUGUGCCAUGUACCAGCUCCCCACAAGGAGUGUCAUCAUGUAAUGCAAAAUGUACUAAGAAUAAAAACUGGAGAAAAUAUAAAUUAGG
rnacentral:lncRNA from 1 species